rnacentral:rRNA from 1 species
UACAGAGGGGGCAAGCGUUGUUCGGAAUUACUGGGCGUAAAGGGCGCGUAGGCGGCCUGCUAAGUCGAACGUGAAAUCCCCGGGCUCAACCCGGGAACUGCGUCCGAUACUGGUUGGCUUGAAUCCGGGAGAGGGAUGCGGAAUUCCCGGUGUAGCGGUGAAAUGCGCAGAUAUCGGGAGGAACACCUGUGGCGAAGGCGGCCCCCUGGUUGGAUACUGACGCUGAUACGCGAAAGCGUGGGGAGCAAACAGG